rnacentral:rRNA from 1 species
GACGAACGCUGGCGGCGUGCUUAACACAUGCAAGUCGAACGGAAAGGCCCUGCUUUUGUGGGGUGCUCGAGUGGCGAACGGGUGAGUAACACGUGAGUAACCUGCCCUUGACUUUGGGAUAACUUCAGGAAACUGGGGCUAAUACCAGAUCGGAGCUCCCGCUGCAUGGUGGGGGGUGGAAAUUUUCGGCGGUUGGGGAUAGACUCGCGGCUUAUCAGCUUGUUGGUUGGGUAGUGGCUUACCAAGGCUUUGACGGGUAGCCGGCCUGAGAGGGUGACCGGCCACAUUGGGACUGAGAUACGGCCCAGACUCCUACGGGAGGCAGCAGUGGGGAAUAUUGCACAAUGGGCGGAAGCCUGAUGCAGCAACGCCGCGUGCGGGAUGACGGCCUUCGGGUUGUAAACCGCAUUCGCCUGUGACGAAGCGUGAGUGACGGUAAUGGGUAAAGAAGCACCGGCUAACUACGUG